UCUACGGGAGGCAGCAGUAAGGAAUAUUGGGCAAUGGACGCAAGUCUGACCCAGCCAUGCCGCGUGAAGGAAGACGGCCCUAUGGGUUGUAAACUUCUUUUCUCAGGGGGUAAACUCCGGAACGUGUUCCGGACUGAAAGUACCUGAGGAAUAAGCAUCGGCUAACUCCGUGCCAGCAGCCGCGGUAAUACGGAGGAUGCGAGCGUUAUCCGGAUUCAUUGGGUUUAAAGGGUGCGCAGGCGGAUAUAUAAGUCGGAGGUGAAAUUCUGAUGCUCAACAUCAGCCGUGCCUUCGAUACUGUAUAUCUAGAGUCAAGUUGGAGUAGGCGGAAUGUGUUGUGUAGCGGUGAAAUGCUUAGAUAUAACACAGAACACCGAUCGCGAAGGCAGCUUACUAAACUUUGACUGACGCUCAUGCACGAAAGCGUGGGGAUCAAACAGGAUUAGAUACCCUGGUAGUCCACGCUGUAAACGAUGAUUACUCGCUGUUGGCGAUACACAGUCAGUGGCUAAGCGAAAGUGAUAAGUAAUCCACCUGGGGAGUACGACGGCAACGUUGAAACUCAAAGGAAUUGACGG
rnacentral:rRNA from 1 species